rnacentral:rRNA from 1 species
AUUGAACGCUGGCGGCAUGCCUUACACAUGCAAGUCGAACGGUAACAGGUCUUCGGAUGCUGACGAGUGGCGAACGGGUGAGUAAUACAUCGGAACGUGCCUAGUAGUGGGGGAUAACUACUCGAAAGAGUGGCUAAUACCGCAUGAGAUCUACGGAUGAAAGCAGGGGAUCGCAAGACCUUGUGCUACUAGAGCGGCCGAUGGCAGAUUAGGUAGUUGGUGGGAUAAAAGCUUACCAAGCCGACGAUCUGUAGCUGGUCUGAGAGGACGAUCCGCCACACUGGGACUGGGACACGGCCCAGACUCCUACGGGAGGCAGCAGUGGGGAAUUGUGGGCAAUGGGGGCAAGCCUGAUCCAGCAAUGCCGCGUGCAGGAUGAAGGCCUUCGGGUUGUAAACUGCUUUUGUACGGAACGAAAAGCCCCGGGUUAAUACCCUGGGGUCAUGACGGUACCGUAAGAAUAAGCACCGGCUAACUACGUGCCAGCAGCCGCGGUAA